CCCCCCCCCCCUCCCCAUAACGUGUCCCUUUCGAGUACUGGUGUUCCCCCAUAACGUGUCCCUUUCUCGUGCUGGUGUUCCCCCAUAACGUGUUCCUUUCUAGUGCUGGUGUUCCCCGUGAGUCUCUUUCUAGUUCUGAUGUUCCCCAUAACGUGUCCCUUUCUAGUGCUGGUGUUCCCCCAUAACGUGUCCCUUUCUAGUGCUGGUGUUCCCCCAUAACGUGUCCCUUUCUAGUGCAAAUGGUCCCCAUUAUGUGUCCCUUUCUCGUGCUGAUGUUCCCCAUGAGUCUCUUUCUAGUUCUGAUGUUCCCCAUAACGUGUCCCUUUCUCGUGCUGGUGUUCCCCAUGUGUCCCUUUCUCAUGCUGGUGUUCCCCAUGAGUCUCUUUCUCGUGCUGGCGUUCCCCAUCAUGAGUCCCUUUCUCGUGCUCAUGGUCCCCAUGAGUCUCUUUCUCGUUAUGAUGUUCCUCAUGUGCCCCUUUUGAGUGCUGGUGUUCCUCAUAACGUGUCCCUUUCUAGUGCUGGUGUUCCCCCAUAAGGUGUCCCUUUCUAGUGCAAAUGGUCCCCAUCAUGUGUCCCUUUCUAGUGCUGGUGUUCCCCAUAAUGUGUCUCGUGCUGAUCUGAUCCCCCCCCCCCCCCCCCCCCCCCCCCCCCCCCCCCCCCCCCCCCCCCCCCCCCCCCCCCCCCCCCCCCCCCCCCCCCCCCCCCCCCCC
rnacentral:lncRNA from 1 species